GACGAACGCUGGCGGCGUGCUUAACACAUGCAAGUCGAACGGUGAACGAGGGAGCUUGCUCCCUCCGGAUCAGUGGCGAACGGGUGAGUAACACGUGAGCAAUCUGCCCUGGACUCUGGGAUAAGCGUUGGAAACGACGUCUAAUACCGGAUACGAGACGCGAAGGCAUCUUUAGCGUCUGGAAAGCACUUCGGUCCAGGAUGAGCUCGCGGCCUAUCAGGUAGUUGGUGAGGUAACGGCUCACCAAGCCUACGACGGGUAGCCGGCCUGAGAGGGUGACCGGCCACACUGGGACUGAGACACGGCCCAGACUCCUACGGGAGGCAGCAGUGGGGAAUAUUGCACAAUGGGCGCAAGCCUGAUGCAGCAACGCCGCGUGAGGGACGACGGCCUUCGGGUUGUAAACCUCUUUUAGCAGGGAAGAAGCGAAAGUGACGGUACCUGCAGAAAAAGCACCGGCUAACUACGUACCAGCCGCCGCCGUAAGAC
rnacentral:rRNA from 1 species